rnacentral:rRNA from 1 species
UAGGGAAUCUUCCGCAAUGGGCGAAAGCCUGACGGAGCAACGCCGCGUGAGUGAUGAAGGUCUUCGGAUCGUAAAACUCUGUUAUUAGGGAAGAACAAAUGUGUAAGUAACUAUGCACGUCUUGACGGUACCUAAUCAGAAAGCCACGGCUAACUACGUGCCAGCAGCCGCGGUAAUACGUAGGUGGCAAGCGUUAUCCGGAAUUAUUGGGCGUAAAGCGCGCGUAGGCGGUUUUUUAAGUCUAUGUGAAAGCCCACGGCUCAACCGUGGAGGGUCAUUGGAAACUGGAAAACUUGAGUGCAGAAGAGGAAAGUGGAAUUCCAUGUGUAGCGGUGAAAUGCGCAGAGAUAUGGAGGAACACCAGUGGCGAAGGCGACUUUCUGGUCUGUAACUGACGCUGAUGUGCGAAAGCGUGGGGAUCAAACAGG